AUAGUGGGAGGUUGCGGCUUAGCUUGCUUGUGGACCGAGGUCGGGGAGCGAGAGGAGAGAAAACAACUUAAAAUGUAAUUAAAGGCAAGUGGGGUGUUUAAAUCGUGUUAAACUCAUCGAGGGUGCGUUACUCCUCCUGUUCAGUUCAGUAACGUUACACAUCGCUCUCCCUCAACUUGAAAAAGCAUCGGAAUUCAAUGCAACCUGGCUUUUCCAAAGCCAUGUAACGUGUGAACUGGGUUCUGCCUCUGCUCAAGUUACAGCAUGGCAAAUAAUUUUAGACGGCGAUCUGAAAACGAAACAAAACAGCUCUAAUCCCGAACCAAAUGGAAGUAAAUUGAACUUCAAAACUGCGGAGGUGGCCCUACUAAGGGAUCGGGUCCAACAGGAAAAGUUUGCACUCUUGCAGGAGAGUAAAUCUGCUGGAAAAAUGCAGGCUUUGUUCGGAGUAGACGUCUGCGUAAAGUCGCCGGCUUAGAAAUUUCUGCCCGUCAAUUAUAGGAUUGGGGCCCCCGUUUCUCUGCGUUUCUCGGGCUUCACUUCCGAGUAAACCUGCCUCCCAGCCUUGCGCGGGCGUUUUCAUGACUCCCCCCCCCCAAGAAAGCCCCAAGGCAGCGAUCCUGGAAGUACUUAAGGAGCAUCAGUUUUCAAUGGGACUUGCUCUUGAAAAGAUGAUGUCCAGAGAAAAUCAAACACACACAGAGAAAGAAAGCUUUGCUGACCCUCAACAUAUAUGUUGCUGGCACGUUCGUAUCCCAAACCUCACCAGGAUUGUGGGUCUGAAGUCUUAGAAGCCUCCAUGUUGCACUCUUAGGUGAUGAUUUUGCCUCCAUCAUGAGUGGGAGGUAAGAUCUCGUCCAUAGUAUUUUCCCUGCAGAGGAUAAGCCGACGCUGGAAUGAAUGCCUUUCAAGAUGUUGGUUCUGCCAUCAACUCAAGAGGUCUUAGCAUUGUUGGCUUCUUUCCUCCCGUCUUUGGAGUAGGAAGAAAUGAUGGGGCAGGGAGUGAAAUGAGAAGAGGAGGAUGUUGGUAGAGAAAAUGACGGCAUAAUUAAUUGCACCCCCAGUGCUGGGGGGGGGGAAGUCGAGCGUCCACUUACAGCUAAUUAAUUCUCAUGCCCACUUCCCCUUCUUCAUCAGUCGUCCGGAAAUAAAGCUGAGAAGAUGCCUUCAGAUGGUGAACACACCUCUCUGUGCAAAGUAUGCGCACAGAUACUGUACAGUAUGGUGUAGCGGUGAAGGCUAUUUGGACUAAAACCCGCAAAGGUCGGGAUUCAAAUCUCUGCUGGGCAUGAAGCUCAGGAGGACCUUGUUCCCCUUAAUUUGUUAAUUUAUUUCCUAAAUUCUGGAGCUGUUGAUACAUAUGCACGCUGAUAUGUAUUGCAUCAGGUACUUGAGUAUUUCUGGAAGGUCAGCCAUAGCGCUUACCCUGUUAGUGUCCAACUGUUAAGGAAAUCUCAUUUGUUCUUCUUUAAAUGGUGGGGGAUUUGAUUGAUGGGUGAAUUUGUUCCCUAUUCAGCCAAAUUGUGAAUUGGUUCAUCUUUCCAAUAUCAAUUACAAUUGGCGGAAAUGUCUGUAAUUAACAGAGUGAAAAACAACAAACCAUUAGAAACCCAACCUUAAAAGUAUUUUAAGGAGGAGAAUAAGAAACA